rnacentral:lncRNA from 13 species
GGUUUUUCUAGGCCUUCGGGACAUAGAAGUGAACUAGACAGAUGGGUCCUGCCUCGGUGGAAUUUGUAAAUAACAGGAUGAGAAAUAUUAAUCAAGAAACCACACAGUUGAAUGUUUCACAGCAGAGGAACGGGUGCUCCGAGUGAGGGGUAUGAGGGUGGCGGCAGUCAGGAAGAAGGAGAAGCCACUAAGCCAGGCAUGUAAGGGACGUGACUUUAGGCAAGGGCUGAGGAAGUCACCACCUAGGACAAAGGAGAGGAAGAGAAUCUGGGCAGGAGCAUCACCCAUGCAGAGGCCCUGUGGUGGGAGGAUGCUUGGCAAGUGAGAUGGACCAAGAGAGGCUGUGGCUGGAGUGGACAGAGUGAAGGGAAUAUGAGAUGUCCCAGAAGAACUGUGAGCCUGAAUCCGGAGCCCCAACCUCUCCUAGCCUCCUGGAGGAGGAUGACCCAGGGUCCCUAUCCUGGCAACAGCAGGCCACCAGUUCAAGGGACAAGAAACUUCUAAGCUCCCUCCACAUUUCACAUAGGGCCCAGGUAGCCUUGGAGUGCCUGCCUUUCUUCCGCACCUAUGGGUGCCUCCUAGCAGAGGAGCGGUUGGUCCUGCAGCCCGAGAUACCACUCCAGGAGGACUCAGAACUGCUUGGUGGGUUCUUCCCUUACUACCGCUCUGAGGAGGAGAGUGUGCCCAGCCUGGCCCCUCCUGGAUGGUCACACAGGGUCCCUUACUACCGCUCUGAGGAGGAGAGUGUGCCCAGCCUGGCCCCUCCUGGAUGGUCACACAGGGUCCCUUACUACCGCUCUGAGGAGGAGAGUGUGCCCAGCCUGGCCCCUCCUGGAUGGUCACACAGGGGCUCCCAAGACCCACCCACUGCGAGGGACAGGCUGGCUGCUUCUGCAGGACAACAGUCAAGGACGAAUGUUCUGGUGCCCUUGGAUGCGUGA